rnacentral:rRNA from 1 species
CCUACGGGAGGCUGCAGUGGGGAAUUUUGGACAAUGGGCGCAAGCCUGAUCCAGCAAUGCCGCGUGAGUGAAGAAGGCCUUCGGGUUGUAAAGCUCUUUCAGUCGAGAAGAAAAGAUUACUGAUAAUACCAGUAAUCCAUGACGGUAUCGACAGAAGAAGCACCGGCUAACUACGUGCCAGCAGCCGCGGUAAUACGUAGGGUGCGAGCGUUAAUCGGAAUUACUGGGCGUAAAGGGUGCGCAGGCGGUUAUGUAAGUCAGAUGUGAAAUCCCCGGGCUUAACCUGGGAACUGCGUUUGAAACUACAGGACUAGAGUGUGGCAGAGGGGGGUGGAAUUCCAUGUGUAGCAGUGAAAUGCGUAGAGAUAUGGAAGAACAUCGAUGGCGAAGGCAGCCCCCUGGGUUAACACUGACGCUCAUGCACGAAAGCGUGGGGAGCAAACAGGAUUAGAUACCCCGGUAGUC